AUUAAGAUAGCAAAGAGUUAAUGCGAAGGAUUUAGGAUCCUUAAACGUGGGUUAGACUCCUACUCUUAACA
rnacentral:tRNA from 2 species